rnacentral:rRNA from 1 species
GAUGAACGCUGGCGGCGUGCCUAAUACAUGCAAGUCGAGCGAACGGACGAGAAGCUUGCUUUUCUGAUGUUAGCGGCGGACGGGUGAGUAACACGUGGAUAACCUACCUAUAAGACUGGGAUAACUUCGGGAAACCGGAGCUAAUACCGGAUAAUAUUUUGAACCGCAUGGUUCAAAAGUGAAAGACGGUCUUGCUGUCACUUAUAGAUGGAUCCGCGCUGCAUUAGCUAGUUGGUAAGGUAACGGCUUACCAAGGCAACGAUGCAUAGCCGACCUGAGAGGGUGAUCGGCCACACUGGAACUGAGACACGGUCCAGACUCCUACGGGAGGCAGCAGUAGGGAAUCUUCCGCAAUGGGCGAAAGCCUGACGGAGCAACGCCGCGUGAGUGAUGAAGGUCUUCGGAUCGUAAAACUCUGUUAUUAGGGAAGAACAUAUGUGUAAGUAACUGUGCACAUCUUGACGGUACCUAAUCAGAAAGCCACGGCUAACUACGUGCCAGCAGCCGCGGUAAUACGUAGGUGGCAAGCGUUAUCCGGAAUUAUUGGGCGUAAAGCGCGCGUAGGCGGUUUUUUAAGUCUGAUGUGAAAGCCCACGGCUCAACCGUGGAGGGUCAUUGGAAACUGGAAAACUUGAGUGCAGAAGAGGAAAGUGGAAUUCCAUGUGUAGCGGUGAAAUGCGCAGAGAUGUGGAGGAACACCAGUGGCGAAGGCGACUUUCUGGUCUGUAACUGACGCUGAUGUGCGAAAGCGUGGGGAUCAAACAGGAUUAGAUACCCUGGUAGUCCACGCCGUAAACGAUGAGUGCUAAGUGUUAGGGGGUUUCCGCCCCUUAGUGCUGCAGCUAACGCAUUAAGCACUCCGCCUGGGGAGUACGACCGCAAGGUUGAAACUCAAAGGAAUUGACGGGGGCCCGCACAAGCGGUGGAGCAUGUGGUUUAAUUCGAAGCAACGCGAAGAACCUUACCAAAUCUUGACAUCCUUUGACAACUCUAGAGAUAGAGCCUUCCCCUUCGGGGGACAAAGUGACAGGUGGUGCAUGGUUGUCGUCAGCUCGUGUCGUGAGAUGUUGGGUUAAGCCCCGCAACGAGCGCAACCCUUAAGCUUAGUUGCCAUCAUUAAGUUGGGCACUCUAAGUUGACUGCCGGUGACAAACCGGAGGAAGGUGGGGAUGACGUCAAAUCAUCAUGCCCCUUAUGAUUUGGGCUACACACGUGCUACAAUGGACAAUACAAAGGGCAGCGAAACCGCGAGGUCAAGCAAAUCCCAUAAAGUUGUUCUCAGUUCGGAUUGUAGUCUGCAACUCGACUACAUGAAGCUGGAAUCGCUAGUAAUCGUAGAUCAGCAUGCUACGGUGAAUACGUUCCCGGGUCU